rnacentral:rRNA from 1 species
UGGGGAAUCUUCCGCAAUGGACGAAAGUCUGACGGAGCAACGCCGCGUGAGUGAUGAAGGAUUUCGGUCUGUAAAGCUCUGUUGUUUAUGACGAACGUGCAGUGUGUGAACAAUGCAUUGCAAUGACGGUAGUAAACGAGGAAGCCACGGCUAACUACGUGCCAGCAGCCGCGGUAAUACGUAGGUGGCGAGCGUUGUCCGGAAUUAUUGGGCGUAAAGAGCAUGUAGGCGGCUUAAUAAGUCGAGCGUGAAAAUGCGGGGCUCAACCCCGUAUGGCGCUGGAAACUGUUAGGCUUGAGUGCAGGAGAGGAAAGGGGAAUUCCCAGUGUAGCGGUGAAAUGCGUAGAUAUUAGGAGGAACACCAGUGGCGAAGGCGCCUUUCUGGACUGUGUCUGACGCUGAGAUGCGAAAGCCAGGGUAGCGAACGGG